UCUAAUUUGGCAGAUUAGUGCGAUAAAUUUAGAAUUUAUAUAUAUUUUUAACAUUAAUUAGUA
rnacentral:tRNA from 1 species